AGCUUAUUGGGCAUUUGUAAUAGGUGUUUUCUGCCCACUGUUGAUAAUAAACGGCUGCGUUAUUUUGAGCGUACUAAGGUAGCAUAAUAAUUUGCUUCUUAAUUAGAAGCUUGAAUGAAUGGAAUGAUGAGGUUUUUACUGUCUCGUAUUUUUUAAUAAAAAUUAAUCUCCAGGUGAAGAGGCUUGGAUAUUUUUGAAAGACAAGAAGACCCUGUCGAGCUCUCCUUAUAUAAAAAUAAAGGUUAAUUGGGGCGAUUAGAGAGAUUAAUAUCCUCUCUUUAUGGAAGAGGGGUUCUUUUUUAAGAUCCGUGUUAUACGAAUUAAGAUUAGCUACCGCAGGGAUAACAGGCUAAUUUUUUCUUAAAGUUCAAAUUUACGAAAAAGUUUGGCACCUCGAUGUUGGCUUAGGGACCUAUAUUUGCGUAGAAGUAAAUAAUAGUGGUUUGUUCAACCAUAAGACCCCU
rnacentral:rRNA from 1 species